GCCUGGUUGGCUCAGUCUGUGGGGUGUGUGACUCUUGAUCUUGGGGUUGUGAGUUCAAACCCCACAUUGGGUA
rnacentral:tRNA from 1 species